AACUUCAGAGUCUGCCCCAUCAGAGAACCGAGGAGGAAACCUGGAUGGACUCAACAUUGAGUGAAGAAUAAAUGUCUGAGCUACAAAGAUGCCUUUUGGCACCUGUCCUGGGGCCCUGCAGCCUACGUGGCUGGAAGAGAGAGACAACAACCGUCAGUCCAGGGCCCAUAGUGGGUGCCAUCAUGAUGAUUUUGAGCAAACUGAGAAAAGGCUUUAUAAAUUAUUGGACAUGCCUCCCAAAACUGACAGAAGACAGACUUCUUUGAUCUACAAUGUCAUGGAAUUCAUUUUGAUUUGUGAAGGGUGACCUCAGAUCCCUCCAUCCUGUAAUGAAUACAAUUGGCAGUGAAGUUCUUUUCACAGCAUCCAGUUGAUUCCCUCACAGUGUAAUUGAGUUGUAUGGAUCUCUAACCAAGACCUACUGAUGGCUUCCAUUCUUGUAGCCCUGGAACAUUUGUGCGGGAACCUCUCAAACCCUGUGUGGACA